rnacentral:rRNA from 1 species
UACGAGGGGUCCUAGCGUUGUUCGGAAUUACUGGGCGUAAAGCGGGUGUAGGCGGAAUUGUAAGUCAGAUGUGAAAUCCCAGGGCUCAACCUUGGACGUGCAUUUGAUACUGCAAUUCUUGAGUGUGGGAGAGGAUAGUAGAAUUCCAGGUGUAGUGGUGAAAUACGUAGAUAUCUGGAGGAACACCGGUGGCGAAGGCGGCCCCCUGGACAAAGACUGACGCUCAGGUGCGAAAGCGUGGGGAGCAAACAGG